UUUAAAACACUUUCCUCGGACUAUUUAUUUAUCGGUUAAAAAACUGACGACACAUAUUGCAUUUAGCAAGGUGAUAGCAGAGGCCCGAAGCAGAACUGUACUCCUUUGUAAAUAUCAAGGAACAUAUAUUUAAGUAACCAGUGUCCUCUCAACAUUUGCCUCGUGAGUUAUUGUACUAUUAGUAAAUUAAUUAACAUCAAUACAUUUGAAGACGUCACUGCUUUGCGCGCAUGCACAAUUUUCAUGCGUUGAGAGCGUACGAAAUAUAUAUAUACAUGUGAAUGUAAGCUAUUGCCAUCUCUUUAACAAAAAAAAACUAGCAAGUUAAAAGAAAAUCCAGCCAUUAGUAAUAAUACUGUCCUUUUAUGUUCUUUGUUUCGUAACUUUGAAUAUAUUUUUAAUUGCUGGUUUUUUCCUAAUAUUAAUCGAUAAUUUCACAUGUUUCUCAAAAAAAAUUAAGAGAUAAAAUUUACCAAAUGAACAUCCGUCGUUUUAAAAUCUUAAAUUUAAAAUAGGUAAUUUGAAAAGAUGUAUCAGGUUAUGUUUGAAUCAAGCAAGUGAGAAUUGAUUGAUCUGUGUUGCAAAGAAAAAAUAUCUGAUCUGUCUAAAUUUUUUAAUACAACGUGAGAAUAGAUAGAGAUAUAUUUUUUGAACAAAAAAAAAGAUAGAGAUAUAUUUUAUAUUAAAAAAUACGGGCACCGCAAUAUUGUAGGUCAUCGAACGCACCUCGAGGUAUGUAAAAGUUUUAUGUGUAGUUAUUCUUUUAAAGAAAAAAAAAAAACUUAAUGUACUGAAAGUGGCAAGAGGCUCAUAAUAAAAGGGUAAAAACUAGAGAUGUGACCUGACACCAGUCGGUGUCGUAUACUAAAUGAGGACAGUAACUUCCACCGACCCUCUUGUGUCACUUUUUAUUUUGUUUCGAAAGACAACAUGCACCCAAUGUAAUGUUUACUUUGGGUUUCACUAGAAUUAUAUUGAUUCGUAAAAAAAAAAAUAGAUGAAAUACAUAAAUUAACAAUACAAUUAUGUUUUCUUAUUUUAAUACCGAUGAGAAUGAAUGCCUUUUCUCUCUCUAUUUUUCUCUUCAACCUCUCGCUAAAAAUCUUUCUAUAACAAAACUUGCUCCAGUGGCCGGUGGUUUCUACUGCCAGUCGCCAUAAUCUUUUUUUUUGGUUUGUAUUAUAGUACUUUCCGUUUAAGCGGAUUAUGUAUGUUUCGCUAAGGCGAUUUUCUCAUUCGCGUAGACGAUUUUGAAGUGUAGAUUCAUCCAAAUCGGAGUGUUCAUCACUCUUAUCUUCUCCGAUAAGGAGAAUCAGAUUUUCUUAAUUAAUAUAACCGGCUGGCUUGAAGAAAGCAUCUCUGAUUUGGGAGUCGAGAGGGUUAGUUGGAUUUGGCAGUCAUUUAUGGAGUUGAUCAAGAAGAGUCGGUGUUUAUGACGGUCCGGCAAAUGGUUUUUCUUCAUAUUGGCUACAACUUCCCCUGUUCUUAAAUCUCAGGCGAAACAUGAUAUAUUGCUCAAGAAGCCGCGGUUAAUGGUGGAAGGCCCUUUCAAACAAAGAUCAACGGGCUCACAGAUGCAGAUAAAGAACUAUCGAUCAGCCGGAAAAUACCAGGACGCGAGUUCUUCUUUCUGCACGACGGCGCGUUCCUGAAGCGCGUGAGAUGGCUUGGCAACGUGCAGAAGAUUUAGACGACGCAUGUCCUUCUUUUCUUCAUCUUCCAACGCGUGGCAAGAUGACGAAGAUAAUGGAAGCGGUGGCAAAUUUUAUUAAUUGGAUUUUCAUGGGCUGUUUCGAAUAAAUAUAUAAGUGGAAAUGAGCUGUUGUAUCCGAGUUUGUACUUGUCCAGUUGGCUUUGCUUUAAUAAAAAGCAUAAGUUGACAAAAAAAAUACCAAUGAGAAAGAAAUUUA